rnacentral:snoRNA from 1 species
AAAUAGCCAGUGAUGAUAGCAUAGUUCAUCAGAUUGUACAAUGCUGAUAUAUUUGUCUUUCGCUCCUAUCUGAGGCUGUUU